rnacentral:rRNA from 1 species
GAUGAACGCUGGCGGCGUGCCUAAUACAUGCAAGUCGAACGCAUAGCGAAAGGUGCUUGCACCUUUCAAGUGAGUGGCGAACGGGUGAGUAACACGUGGACAACCCGCCUCAAGGCUGGGGAUAACAUUUGGAAACAGAUGCUAAUACCGAAUAAAACUUAGUGUCGCAUGACACAAAGUUAAAAGGCGCUUCGGCGUCACCUAGAGAUGGAUCCGCGGUGCAUUAGUUAGUUGGUGGGGUAAAGGCCUACCAAGACAAUGAUGCAUAGCCGAGUUGAGAGACUGAUCGGCCACAUUGGGACUGAGACACGGCCCAAACUCCUACGGGAGGCUGCAGUAGGGAAUCUUCCACAAUGGGCGAAAGCCUGAUGGAGCAACGCUGCGUGUGUGAUGAAGGCUUUCGGGUCGUAAAGCACUGUUGUAUGGGAAGAACAGCUAGAAUAGGAAAUGAUUUUAGUUUGACGGUACCAUACCAGAAAGGGACGGCUAAAUACGUG